rnacentral:rRNA from 1 species
ACGACGGCUGGCGGCGUGCCUAAUACAUGCAAGUAGAACGCUGAAGAGAGGAGCUUGCUCUUCUUUGGAUGAGUUGCGAACGGGUGGAGUAACGCGUAGGUAACCUGCCUUGUAGCGGGGGAUAACUAUUGGAAACGAUAGCUAAUACCGCAUAACAAUGGAUGACACAUGUCAUUUAUUUGAAAGGGGCAAUUGCUCCACUACAAGAUGGACCUGCGUUGUAUUAGCUAGUAGGUGAGGUAAUGGCUCACCUAGGCGACGAUACAUAGCCGACCUGAGAGGGUGAUCGGCCACACUGGGACUGAGACACGGCCCAGACUCCUACGGGAGGCAGCAGUAGGGAAUCUUCGGCAAUGGGGGCGACCCUGACCGAGCAACGCCGCGUGAGUGAAGAAGGUUUUCGGAUCGUAAAGCUCUGUUGUAAGUCAAGAACGGGUGUGAGAGUGGAAAGUUCACACUGUGACGGUAGCUUACCAGAAAGGGACGGCUAACUACGUG